UACGUAGGGUGCGAGCGUUAAUCGGAAUUACUGGGCGUAAAGCGUGCGCAGGCGGUUCGUUGUGUCGGCGGUGAAAGCCCCGGGCUCAACCUGGGAAUGGCCGUUGAAACUGGCGAACUGGAGUGUGGCAGAGGGGGGUGGAAUUCCGCGUGUAGCAGUGAAAUGCGUAGAGAUGCGGAGGAACACCGAUGGCGAAGGCAGCCCCCUGGGCUGACACUGACGCUGAGACGCGAAAGCGUGGGGAGCGAACAGG
rnacentral:rRNA from 1 species